UACGGGGGGAGCAAGCGUUGUUCGGAUUUACUGGGCGUAAAGGGCGCGUAGGCGGCGCGACAAGUCACUUGUGAAAUCUCUGGGCUCAACCCAGAACGGUCAAGUGAUACUGUCGUGCUAGAGUGCGGAAGGGGCAACUGGAAUUCUUGGUGUAGCGGUGAAAUGCGUAGAUAUCAAGAGGAACACCUGCGGCGAAGGCGGGUUGCGGGGCCGACACUGACGCUGAGAAGCGAAAGCAUGGGGAGCGAACAGG
rnacentral:rRNA from 1 species